CCUACGGGUGGCUGCAGUGGGGAAUUUUGGACAAUGGGCGAAAGCCUGAUCCAGCGACGCCGCGUGCGGGAGGAAGCCCCUCGGGGUGUAAACCGUUGUCAGGGGGGAAGAACGGGCUCGGGCAAAUAGCCCGGGCAGCUGACGGUACCUCCAGAGGAAGCGCCGGCUAACUCCGUGCCAGCAGCCGCGGUAAUACGGAGGGCGCAAGCGUUGUCCGGAAUUACUGGGCGUAAAGGGGGCGCAGGCGGCUUGCUAAGUCCUGUGUGAAAUCCCGCGGCUCAACCGUGGAAAGCCACAGGAUACUGGCGGGCUCGAGACGGGUAGAGGCGAGUGGAAUUCCCGGUGUAGCGGUGAAAUGCGUAGAUAUCGGGAAGAACACCAGUGGCGAAGGCGACUCGCUGGGCCCGUUCUGACGCUCAGGCCCGAAAGCGUGGGGAGCAAACAGGAUUAGAUACCCUAGUAGUCC
rnacentral:rRNA from 1 species